rnacentral:rRNA from 1 species
UACGUAGGGACCGAGCGUUGUCCGGAAUCAUUGGGCGUAAAGAGCGUGUAGGCGGCUAUUUAAGUCCUGCGUGAAAUCCUGCGGCUCAACCGCAGACGGUCGUGGGAAACUGGAUGGCUAGAGUACGGAAGAGGCGAGUGGAAUUCCUGGUGUAGCGGUGGAAUGCGCAGAUAUCAGGAGGAACACCAAUAGCGAAGGCAGCUCGCUGGGACGUUACUGACACUGAGGCGCGAAAGCGUGGGGAGCGAACAGG